GACGAACGCUGGCGGCGUGCUUAACACAUGCAAGUCGAACGGUGAAGCGCCUUCCUUUUUGGUGGGUGUGGAUGAGUGGCGAACGGGUGAGUAACACGUGAGUAACCUGCCCCCUUUUACUGGAUAACCGCAUGAAAGUGUGGCUAAUACGGGAUAUUCUGGGUCUGUCGCAUGAUGGGUCUGGGAAAGAUAUUGUUUCGGUGGGGGAUGGGCUCGCGGAUUAUCAGCUUGUUGGUGGGGUGAUGGCUUACCAAGGCGGUGGCGGGUAGCCGGCCUGGGAGGGUAGGCGGAAACACAGGGCCUGAGACACGGACAAGACUCCGACGGGCAGCAGCGGUGUAGAGUAGUGGACAAUGGGCAGAAGCCUGAUGCAGCGACGCCGGGUGAGGGAUGGCGGCCUGCGGGUUGUGUGCCUCUUUCGCCAGUGAAGCGGGCCUGCCUGGUUUGUGGGUGGGUUGACGGUAGCUGGAGAAGAAGCGCCGGCUAACUACGUG
rnacentral:rRNA from 1 species